GCGCUGCUAGCUCAAUUGGUAGAGCCAACGACUCUUAAUCGUUAGAUUAUAGGUUCGAU
rnacentral:tRNA from 1 species